GGGGUACUAGUAAAAUGCCCAUUACACUGCUUUGUCAAGGCAGAAUCGCAAGUUGAAACCCUGCGUACCCCC
rnacentral:tRNA from 1 species